rnacentral:rRNA from 1 species
CCUACGGGAGGCUGCAGUGAGGAAUAUUGGGCAAUGGGGGCAACCCUGACCCAGCCAUGCCGCGUGAGUGAAGAAGGUCUUCGGAUUGUAAAGCUCUUUCGGACGUGACGAUGAUGACUGUAGCGUCUCAAGAAGCACCGGCAAACAUCGUGCCAGCAGCCGCGGUAAUCCGAAGGGUGCGAGCGUUGUUCGGAAUUACUGGGCGUAAAGGGAGUGUAGGCGGAUAUGUAAGAUCGCGGUGAAAUGCCGGGGCUCAACCCCGGAACUGCCAUUAUGACUAUGUAUCUAGAGUGAUGGAGAGGAUAGCGGAAUACCCAGUGUAGCGGUGAAAUUCGUAGAUAUUGGGCAGAACACCGGUGGCGAAGGCGGCUAUCUGGCCAUUUACUGACGCUGAGGCACGAAAGCAUGGGGAUCGAACAGGAUUAGAUACCCUGGUAGUC